AGGAGAAUUAUUCGCAAUGGGCGAAAGCCUGACGGUGCGACGCCGCGUGAGGGAUGAAGGCCUUCGGGUUGUAAACCUCUGUUGAGGGGUAGGAAAGCGUGGAGGGCGAACACCCCUCCUCGUUGACCAACCCUUGAGGAAGCCACGGCUAACUCCGUGCCAGCAGCCGCGGUAACACGGAGGUGGCAAGCGUUGCUCGGAAUUACUGGGCGUAAAGGGCGUGUAGGUGGAAAGGUUAGUCGGACGUGAAAUCCCUCGGCUCAACUGAGGAAUUGCGUUUGAUACUGCCUUUCUUGAGUGUGGGAGAGGAGAGUGGAACUCCUGGUGGAGCGGUGAAAUGCGUAGAUAUCAGGAGGAACGCCGGUGGCGAAAGCGGCUCUCUGGCCCACCACUGACACUGAGGCGCGAAAGCCAGGGGAGCGAACGG
rnacentral:rRNA from 1 species